rnacentral:misc_RNA from 1 species
AAGAACGGCAAGGAACAGAAGCAGCUAGCGAGCUGCCAACGCCAUCUCCCUCAUUUUGUGUGUGUGUGUGUCGCUCACCGUCCUUUUACAUACAGUUCUCUUCGCACAUAAUUCUUUUUUUUUUUUGCCUUUUCCUUUCGCUGCUGUUGUUGCGCGUCGCUUCCUCCGGCCUCUCGCACCUACUCGGCCUUUUUUACGCUUACGGCGGCGUUUUUGUGUCCCUGUUCUCGACCGAUCACGCUCGGUGCCUUCUAGGCUCCGUUACUCCGUGCCUACACUGCUGAUCACGCCUCCAAUUCCCCAGUGACCACCCCAUUCACACUCCUCACCGGCACACCUACUCCAGCCAACGUGGUCGACUUAAAGGAAGAUCCACAUCCGCCAUGACGCUACGCACCCGCUUCGAAAGCUCCGAUGAUAUCGGUGUCUUCUCCCGCCUCACCAACGCCUACUGCCUGGUGGCCGCUGGCGCGUCGCAAAACUUCUACUCGGUGUUCGAACAGGAGUUGGCCAACCACAUAUGUGUCGUGUACACGUCCAUCGGUGAUGCACGCGUGAUUGGCCGCCUUACCGUCGGCAACCGUCACGGCCUCAUCGUUCCGUCUAUCACGACGGAUCAGGAGCUGCAGCACCUCCGCAACUCGCUACCCGACUCCGUGAAAGUGCAGCGCGUCGAAGAGCGUCUCUCUGCACUAGGCAACUGUGUGGUUUGUAACGACCACGUAGCGCUCAUCCACACAGACCUGAGCCGUGAGACAGAGGAGGUGAUCCGCGACACUCUGCAGGUUCAAACGUUCCGCACUUCCAUCGCGGAGAACGCCCUAGUCGGUAGUUACGCCGUAGCGACGAAUAAGGGUUGCAUGGUGCACCCCAAGACCCCUGCGCAGGACAUGGACGAGAUUUCGUCCCUGCUUCAGGUGCCGGUCGUGGCGGGCACGAUCAACCGCGGCAAUGCUGCCAUCGGCUCUGGCCUCGUAGUGAACGACUGGGCCGCCUUUUGCGGUCUCAACACGACGGCGACAGAAAUCACCGUCGUGGAGCGUAUCUUCCAGCUGCGCCGUGAGGCCGCCGGUGGCGACGAAGGCAACCUACUGCAGAAUGUCCGCGAGACCCUGGUGGACGAGCUGGCGUAGCUGAAAAGAGAACACACGAACAGGAAAGGGCGGUGAGCUGCGCGAAGCGAGAGUAUCACGGGCCACGAGCGCGCCGGAGCCUUCGCACAUCUGUGCCAAGGCUAGGCAGACGCUGCUCGCUUUCGAAGUCGAUCACACCGUGUUCCCCUGCCCACAACUGCCACUGUAUGGGGGUGGCGGACGGUUGGUCUUCUUCCGCUCCGACACAAUUCCUUGUUCUUUUUUCCGGCUGCUCUUGUCUUAUGGUAACGUCUAUGCGUGCGUCUGUGUCUCGCACGUCGCCGUUGCUUUUUUUAUUCUCUUUUGGUGUUGUUUGUUGUUUUCCGCGUUCCUUUUUUUUUUUGUUCGGCUCGUUGCGUCGCUGCAGUGGUUCAGUGCUUGUGCGUUUUUUUUUUCGCGUGUGUGUUCCUGUUUUUGGGUGUCCGUCGUCUCGUUCUUCUCCUUUUGUGGGGGUCCGUUACGGCGAUCUUUCUCCCGUGUGAUCUCUGUGGGUUCUCGAUCCGGCAGGAAAACAGCAACAACGAAAAGGGAGUCGCCGCCCUCCAAUGCCGCUGCGCGCGCGGGUGUUUUGUGCUGUUGUGGUUGGUAAUCGUUUGAGGUGGGGGUGCGCGUGUGGUGCGUCUUUGGUGCUCGCACAUGCGACCACCGCGUCGCUUUUGUAAGAUGCUCGAGCCUGUGGACGGUGCGCUUUCCAGCGCGGUAGCCACCAGCGCCGACCUUUCCCAUUUGUGUGGCUGAUGCUGGCACUCUUGAGGAGGAUCUCACUAUCACUUGCCGUUGCAUAGCAAACCCUCUCUUUACUUGCUUGCCCCAUCGCGAAGACAGCUUUCACUUCGCACCGGCGAGAGUGAUUGCAGCUCCUCCCCUCACUUCCUCCCUCCUGGAAGUCGCCCCGCAGAAUGCAGCACUUGUAUACGACUCUGACACGUGCACAAAUCCACUGACACUUCGCUUUUCACCUUUUUUUUCUCGUUUCCUUUCGAGAUCCACUAAG